AGUUUCACAUUCCUUCCCAAUCCCUCCGACAUCCCUGCGCCGGGGCCCUUCCCUAGCGCUCCGGGAAAGCGUUCGCCGCAGGCCUGUUAGGGGCCCACCAAUACCGUAACACCGUUCCCGUCCUCUUCCUCGGCACCGCUGCAAACGCCCCGGGUCGCUACCCGGAUUUGACGGUGGCUGGAGCGGCACGGGCGACGCAAGGCAGUAACCAGCAGGUAUAUGUGCUCAUAGCUGCCAAAACUUCCCUGGAAUGCAAAGCAGAGCCAUGGACAACAGAUUGGGGUAAGAAAUUCUCCUAAAUGAAGUAAGUGAGACAAAAAGGCCCAAAACCUUUAUGAGAUUAUUUCCUUUGAAGCAGUCUCCUUUUUCUUUGUGUAGCAUUUAUCAGCUUGUGAUUGAGUCAUCUAUUGCUGCAGAUCGAACUCUCCCAAAAUAUAGUUGCUUGCAAAAAUGUCAAUUUAAUAUUUCUCAUAAUUCUGAAGGUUGGUUAUGUGGUUCCUCUCUGGUUUUGAUUUGGCUCACUCGUAUAGAUACAUUCAGCUGUAGCAGGGGUUGGCCAAGUUUUCUGUAAAACAGGAUCAGAUAGUAAAUAUUUUAGACUUUGUCUCUGUCACAUAUUCUUUUUUAUUUAAUUUUUAUAAACUAUUAAAAACCCAAAGCUAUUCAUAGCUCAAGGGCCAUACAGAAGCAGGCUAUGGCCUACAGGCUGUAGUUUGCUGAUCCCUGAACUGGAGAAUCAGCUAAGCUGAAAGUCCAAGGUGGCCUCACUCAUGUGUCUGCUGUUGGCUCCAUGUGGCCUCUUAUCCUGCAGUAGGCUAUGUUUUUGGUCUGUGGGCAACAUCCAGAAGAGAGCAGGCAGAAGCUGUAAAAUUUCUUAAGGCCUAGACUUGGGAGUCACACAAGAUCAUAUAUGCCAAAUUCUACAAAUCAAAGCAAAUUGUGAGGCCUCUCCAAAUCCAAGGGGCAGGCAAAUAGUCUCUGCCUCUUGAUGGAAGGAGCUGCAGAUAAUGUGGCCAGAACUAGCUAAACUAAGUGGCAGGAACCUUAUUCUUGAAAGUAAAUCAUCAAACUUCAAAUUUAUGAUAUCUGAUGGCAGCUAUUGUUCUUACUCACUUCUCUCCCCAAACUACCCAAACCUGUUUAUAAUUCUGUGAGCACUCACUUGCCUCAGAACUUGUUUACAGAUGUCUCUGCCAUGAGAUUAUCAGCAACCUGAGGGAAGAGACAGGCCCUACCGCACUGCCUUGCUGUAAUAUAUCUUCAAUAGAUAUAUAUGGAAUUUAGCUGAAUAGCCUUACUGAGGUUUAAAGUCAGGUUAUUUGCUUACUUCACAAAAGCAAAAUAAAUUUAAGUAUCCUGCACUAUCUACAAAUUCCAGAAGAAAAGCACACAUCAAAGAGUUAUAUGUCACACUCACAUACCAUCUGACCAAUAAGAUGGAAACCUUCCUAGCAAUUUUCCGAACAUAUAAUCAAGAGUUAGGAAGCCAUAUGCCUAAUGAUAAGUUUGAACUAGCAGUCACCUUUAAGGCUAUAUUACAUUUUAACCUUAAAUUUGUCUGCAGAUGAAAAUUGAAAUGUAACAACAGUUCUUUCGUAAUAUGUGCUAUAUAUGUUUCAAGGCAGAUGUGGUUCUGGGCAGGGUUUCUAAUCUACAGGAAAUGCUUCUACUAAUUGUUCAGUUGAAUUUUUCAAUAUGUGCCUUCUCCAAAAUCUGACUGUGACUGUCUUCUUCCACUUGAUGGAAAGCUUUGACAAUUUAUUAUGCUUAGAAGCAGCUGGGGUGUAUUUCUAAUUGAUGAUUUGUUAUAUUUCUUACUUGACUAUCCACAUCUUUCAUUCUCUUCAGCAUUUUCCUCCAGCACUUCCUGUCUUACUGAAUUUGAUAUAUGACACUGCCUUUGUGCAAAUGUAGACAAUAUCUUCAGCCUUCUGCCUCUGUCCUUCAGAUUACAAAUACAUGCGAGAGUCAUGCUAGUAACACGUAUGUGACACUUAAACAUUAAUACAGUAUAUUCACAUACACUUUAUCAGUUGAUUAUUAAUACACCAAUACUGUGGAGGUGGAUACUGUCAUUACUAUCAUUUGGCAGGUAGGGAAACUGGCGAACAAAUGUCUCAGAGAUACCUCAAACUUAACAUGUCUAGGCCAACCUCAGUACCUUCCCAUAAAAUGUGCUUAUUCUCCUGGAUUCCUGAUUUGUAUAAAGCAGCUCCAUUUAUCACUCAUCCAAGUUCAAAUCUCACUUCAUCCUUCUUUCUAUUCCACAUGUCCAGUCAGUCACCAAGUCCCUGUGGAUUCUCUCUCUUUCUCCCUCUCCUCUCUGAGAUGCCUGCAGCCAAGAAAGCCUCAUUCUUCAUUUAGGUUUGUAUCAGAGCUUUCUGUCUGCUCCCUUGACUUCCAAGUUGCCCAUCAGGUCCUUCAGAUUACCACUAGGCUGUCUUCCUCAAACCCAGAUCUUGUCAGGCAUUCCUAUUUUAAAUUGGUCAGUGACUUCCCACAGGGCACAAUCCAAAGGGCUACAGAACCUUUUGUAAUCUACCUCAGCCUACCAGCUCCUGCCAUGCAUGCAUUUUCAUGCACUGUCAUUGUGCCCACUGUUACCUCAGAGUACAGUUUUAUUCUCUGAGUCCCUCCAUCCCAGAACCACACCCAUCUGACUCAUCCAAGUCCCACAACCACUAUAGUAAUGCUUCUCAAACCUAAAUGUGCAUAGGAAUCACUGGAGAAUCUUAUUAAAAGCAGAUUCUGAUUCAUUAGGUCCUGGAUAGGGCUGGAGAUUCUGCCUAUUAACAAACCAACUGUGCAGGGCACGGUGGCUCAUGCCUGUAAUCUCAGCACUUUGGGAGGCUGAGAUGGGCAGAUAGCUUGAGCUCCUGAGUUCAAGACCAACCUGGGCAACAUAGCAAAACCCUGCCUCUACUAAAAAUACAAAAAUUAGCCUGGCAUGGGGGCGUGCAUCUGUAGUCCCAGCUACUCAGGAGGCUGAGCUGGGAGGAUUGCUUGAGCUUGGGAGGUCAAGGCUGCAGUGAGCUGUGAUUGCACCACUGCACUCCAGCCUGGGUGACAGAGCAAGACCUUGUCUCAAGACAAAAACAAAAACAGACAACCCACCAAUUGGUAAUAGGAUACUGCUGGUUGUUAGGCUGCAAUUUGAGUAGCAAGAGUCUAGAGCUGCACUGUUCAAUAGAACUUUCUGCAAUGAUAAAAAUGCUCUUAGGUGUUUUCUAAUAUUGUAGAAACUAAUGACAUGUAGCUAUUGAAUACUCGAAAUGUAGCUAAUGAGACUGAGGAACUGAAUUUUAAAUUUUACUUAGUUUAAGUUUCAGUAGCUACAUGUGAGUAAGUGGCCACCAUGUUGAACAAUGCAGAUGUAUAGGAAUCCCUUUCAUCCUUCAAAACUCAUUCAGACUUCUGGUUUUCAGUCCAGCAUGUAAGACCUUAGAAGUCACCAUUCCAUCCUAAUAACAAGUAAAAAGCUAAACAAACUUAAAAAUACUUAACUCUUUGUAUAUUUUUUGGAAAAGUGAGGUUAUGGGGCAAACUGCAUUUCCCAAACUGGAGAGACAGACAGGUAGAUACAGAGAAUUACAGAAUUAAAAGAAAAGAAAAAAAAUGACAUUUUGAGCUGGACAAAUAAAAACAAACAACAAAACAAACAGAAAAUACAGAGAAUUAUAACUUAUCAGAGCAGAAAACCAUGAGCUGAAAUCUCUACAGGAACCAGUGCUGGGGUAGGAAAACCUAAACUGUUAAAUGAUGAAUUGCUAGAAGUUCUGUGUUGGCAAGUCUGAGAGUUAAAAACUUCAGGGGGACCUAGUCAUGGUGGGUGGAACCCAUACUUUUAGUGUGUUUUAACUCCUGGAGUUCUACCAGGUUCACACAGUGAAUAUCAGAGAAAAACCCCCCAGUGCUUCCGGCGGAGGGAGGAGAAAAGAAACCAUUUUGAAAUGUGCCAGAACAUUCUGUUCUUAACAAGAGCUGCCCUCAGAAGAAAGUAGCUAAGUGGAACCUAGCCUGCUGGGGUUUUAUCAGAGCCUAACUGACCUGGAGGAAGGGAAAUACUGAACUCCAUUCCCUCUAGACUUCCACAUAUGAGAAGGGAAAUACCCAAAUCCAGCCCAUUCUAGCUAUCCUAUCCUACCUAACAUGUUAGGGGUGAGUAUAGAAGUAAAGAACUGAGAGGCACUUGUGAAGUUCAUGAUCCAGAGGCACAGGCUCACUAAAAGACUGAGACCUAAUCAUAGGACUAUAGAAUGCUCCCCCACCUAUACAUACACCUUACCAUCACAUUACUAAAGGAACAUCACAGCAAUUUCUUUAACCCAGUACAUUAUGUCCAGUUAUCAAGAAAAAAUUACGAGGCAUACUAAAAGGAAAAACACAGUUUGAAGAGACAGUACAAGCAUCAGAACCAAAUUCAAGAUAUGGUAGAGAUGUUGGUAUUAGACCACUAAUUUAAAAUAACUAUGAUUAAUUUACUAAGAGCUUUAACACAUAAAGUAGAUAGCAUGAAAAGACCAAUAGGUAAUGUAAGCAGAGAGAUAGAUAAUUUAAUAAGGUACCAAAAAAGAUGGUAGAGAUCAAAAGCACUGUAGCAGAAAUGAAGAAUGCCUUUGAUGGUCUUAGUAGACUGGACACAGCUGAAGGAAAAAAUCUCUGAACAUGAAGCCAUCUCAAUAGAAACUGCCAAAACUGAAAAACAGAAAAAAGACUGAAAAAAAAGAAAACCUACCCAGAACAGAAUAUACAAGAGCUGUGGCUCAACUACAAAAGGCGCAACAUGUGUAAUGGGAAUAACCAAGAGAAGAAAAAGAGAAAGAAACAAAAGAAAUAUUUGAAACAAUAAUGACAAAAUUUCCCCUAAAUUAAUGUCAGACAGCAAACCACAAGUCCAGAAAGCUGAGAGAACACCAAGCAGAAUAAAUGUAAAAAACACCCACACCUAAGCAUAAUGUAUUCAAACUACAAAAAAAUCAAAGAUAAAAGAAAAUUCUGAAAGAAGUCAGUGAAAUAAAACCCACCUUAUCUAUAGAGGAGCAAGGAUAAGAAUUACACCUGGUUUUUCCUCGGAAACCAUGCAAGCAAAAAAAGAGUAGAGUGAAAUAUUUAAAGUGUUGAGAGAAGCAAACAAACUGGAAUUCUGCAACAUGUAAAAUUAUCCUUCAAAAGUAAAAAAAAAAAAAAAAAAAAAAAAAAAAUUGAGGGAAUUUGUUUCCAGUGGACUGCUUUGGAAGAAAUGUUAAAAAAAAAAAAGUCCUUUAGAGAGAAGGAAAAUAAUAGAGGUCAGAAAUUUGGACCUGUGUAAAGAAAAGAAUAGCAAUGGAGAAGGAG